ensembl:lncRNA
UGGAGUUCUGCAAGAUUCCACUCGGUGAAACGGGAAUCUUCAUGGAUUCAGUCUUCGGUCCGUCUCUGACUGAUUAAGCACGCAUUCAGCGCAUAUGGACAUCACCAAGUUACUAAAUCGAGCUUCUGCCAUAUCCAGAGAGAAGAGAAAAGAGCAAGCGCUUCCUGAGGUCCAUGAGAUGCUGUGGUCAUAAUUACAUCACCCCACCUCCACUGUUCCCUCCAAGCUAUACACCUACAUGGUUAUACACGUCUGAUGAUGGUCCCAUGCAGAAUAAAUUAAAAUCGAUGCCUCCCAGUCUCACUGCCACCCAACAUUCAUUUUCAACCACAAAUAAUGGUAGAUGGAGUGGCGUACUGGGGCCAAAGAAAUGGACAGAGAUGGUUUUUAAUAAGUAUUUUGAAUACAAGUGAAUAAAACAAAUUAAUCAGUGGUGAGGUAACCGUCCAAUCGUACACACCGACUAACUGCGGAACCCUGACACCAUCGCGACCCUGGUAAUGUUUUUACUCCUCUGUAUUUGCAGCACUUUAUCUGUCCUCUGGGUGGUACAACGCCAACCUGCUGUGUGAGACAGAGCGUCAUAUUAUAGGCUUUCUCCUUCCAUCUCUCUCUCCAUCGCUUCCCAGGGGUGAAUAAUGGUAACCACGGCAACCCCUUGGACAAAUAUUGAUAGGGUGAUUGAUUUUGGUGAGGAAAAUAAUAAAAACAGAAAUCAGCAGAGAGAGAGAGAGAGAGAGAGAGAGAGAUCACAAUCCUGAAUAAAGUUCACUACAGAGGCCAGAGUUGAUGUCCGAGGGGUUUCAUCUGUUCUACUGAGUGCUCGGAAGUUCGCUGACAUUUAAACCUCUGUCGGUGAUUCACACCUGUCAUAAAAGUGUUUUAUUUAUUUAUUUAUUUAUUUAUUUAUUUUUGUUGUUGUUUUUAAGGUCACACAGACAAAGUGUCUUCAAAAUUCUAGGGGACGUCUCAGUAACAUGCUGAGACAGCCUGCGCUUUUUGUUUUAUUAACUUCAAGUGAGAGAAAUAAACGAGGCUGGCAAGUGAAUUAUCCACAAAUAUAUAUAUAUUUUAAAAAAUGUAGUCAUUAAUUAAUUGCUGCCGUGUAGGAGGAAUAAAACCCCCCACUGGAUUUCCCAUUAUAGGAAAAUGGUCUCCACUUUGCAUCACAGCAACUCAUCGAUUGUUUUCCUAUAACAGCAUGUCACCGUGUAUCGUUUCUCAGAAUUGUGAAGUGUCAUGUAUACCAAACCUAGCGAGACAAUGUGUGUAUAAUGCAUUAUGAAUGCAGGAUUUACAUGAAGUAUUACUUCUAGUGCAACCCCCACGCCCGCCCCGCCCCCCGAAAUCGCUACGUGCUAAAGCAGUGAAUUAUCUUUCCUCAAAUGGCAAUUUUCUUUCAUUAAAUGUCUCCGUUUAUAAUGUAUCCACUACCAUGCUUUAAAAGUCCGCGUAAAACUUGGCAACCUAAAUGAGACGUAUGCAACAAUUAAGCACCAAUUUAAAAAUAAAUACAAUAGCAAAUGUUGUGUUAGUAGGACUUUCAGAAAUCUGUUUAAUUAUGUUGAUUAAUCGGCUAACACGUGAUUUGUCUCCCGCUUAAAUAAAUAAAUAAAUAAUAAAUAAUAUAUUCUUGAACUUGAGUACAAUUUUUCUGCAAUAAAUUUUGAUAAAUGUUUUUAAGUAUUCAUUUUUUUUUUUUUUUAGUAGUGGUC